rnacentral:rRNA from 1 species
UACGGGGGGGACAAGCGUUGUCCGGAUUUACUGGGCGUAAAGAGCGCGCAGGCGGUCGUUCAAGUCGAGUGUGAAAGCCCCCGGCUCAACUGGGGAGGGUCACUCGAUACUGAUCGACUCGAAGGCAGGAGAGGGAGGUGGAAUUCCCGGUGUAGUGGUGAAAUGCGUAGAUAUCGGGAGGAACACCAGUGGCGAAGGCGACUUCCUGGCCUGUUCUUGACGCUGAGGCGCGAAAGCUAGGGGAGCAAACGGG